ACAGCCACAUCGCAUAGAAACACCAGUUCUUAUAUGAUCACUGAAGUUAAGCAAUGUUGAGUCUGGUCUGUACCAAGAUGGGUGACUGAUUGGGAAUACCAUGUGCAGUAAG